GAGAUGAAGAGCUCAGCAAAUUGCGGAAGAAAUGCAAAGAGCAGUAUAGGGA
rnacentral:rRNA from 1 species